UCUGAUGCAGCGAUGCCGCGUGAGUGAAGAAGGCCCUUGGGUUGUAAAGCUCUUUCGUCGGGGAAGAAAAUGACUGUACCCGAAUAAGAAGGUCCGGCUAACUUCGUGCCAGCAGCCGCGGUAAUACGAAGGGACCUAGCGUAGUUCGGAAUUACUGGGCUUAAAGAGUUCGUAGGUGGUUGAAAAAGUUGGUGGUGAAAUCCCAGAGCUUAACUCUGGAACUGCCAUCAAAACUUUUCAGCUAGAGUUUGAUAGAGGAAAGCAGAAUUUCUAGUGUAGAGGUGAAAUUCGUAGAUAUUAGAAAGAAUACCAAUUGCGAAGGCAGCUUUCUGGAUCAUUACUGACACUGAGGAACGAAAGCAUGGGUAGCGAAGAGGAUUAGAUACCCUCGUAGUCCAUGCCGUAAACGAUGUGUGUUAGACGUUGGAAAUUUAUUUUCAGUGUCGCAGCGAAAGCAAUAAACACACCGCCUGGGGAGUACGACCGCAAGGUUAAAACUCAAAUGAAUUGACGGGGACCCGCACAAGUAGUGGAGCAUGUGGUUUAAUUCGAUGCAACGCGAAGAACCUUACCUACCCUUGACAUACCUGGGAUCUUAUAGAGAUAUAGGAGUGCCGCAAGGAACCAGGAUACAGGUGCUGCAUGGCUGUCGUCAGCUCGUGUCGUGAGAUGUUGGGUUAAGUCCCGUAACGAGCGCAACCCUUGUCUUUAUUUACCAUCAAGUAAUGUUGGGCACUAUAAAGAGACUGCCGGUGAUAAGCCGGAGGAAGGUGGGGACGACGUCAAGUCAUCAUGGCCCUUACGGGUAGG
rnacentral:rRNA from 1 species